UGAUAAAUAGAUGUGAUUGGUUGCC
rnacentral:piRNA from 2 species